rnacentral:piRNA from 1 species
UGGGCCAGAGGCCUCAAAGAUGGAGGCCAGG